rnacentral:lncRNA from 1 species
AUAGAGAAUCACUCCCCAGAUGGAAAGUAACUCUGUCUGACAAUAAGCCUUUGGCCAAGUUCUUAAGAAAAGUCAGGAUUUCCUUGUAUAGAGGGAACUUCCUUAUUCGUCUUGGAUUCUAGGAGUUCUCAGGGACUCAUGAAGUCAGCCUCACAGGUCAAUCAGGCUGUGCUAGCCCAGCUUGAACAAGAUACUGGCUGCAUGUACGUCUGCACAUUGGAAUACAUCAUCAGAUGGUUGUGAGAUGCCGAAUGGGUGCUGGAUAUUGAACUCAGAGCCUUCGGAAGAGCAGGUCUCUAUGAAGCCCAGGCUGACUUUCAACUUUGGUCUUCCUGCAUGAAAUACAGCAUAUGCCAGCACAUUCAGCACCAGCUUGACCGAGGGCAACUCACCUUCCCCUGAAUAAUCCACAUGGCUGAUUGUGGAAAGUGGUUUGAGAGGGAUGAAAUAGUUACAAUACACGCCAGAGAUUAAAGAUUUCUCGGGGCUAGUGGGCUAGCUCCAUGGGAGCCUAACAACUCUCAUCUCUAGAACCCAUUCAAAAGUGGAGAAAACGAACUCCACAGAGCUCUCCUCCGACCUCCGCACUCAGAUCACAGUAUAUAUGUAUACUCCUAAACACCACACACAAAACAGAAAACAAUGAUACACACAUUUAAUAAAAAUGUUCAACAGUUUCCAAAAUGUUUACCAGGGAGGAAAACAAAAGUCUCCUUCCUUUUAUUCCUUGGUAUUCUGUCUCCUCUAAAAAUAAAAAACUUUCUUCUCAGCUUUUAAGACUA